CCCCGAACUAUUCCUACUUAUGCGUUUCCCCCCAUCGUUUAAAUAUGCACACAAACAACUAAGUGCAAUCACCAUCCUGGCAGCUCGAAAUUUAAUAGCCUGCAACUGGAAAUCCACACUCUGUCCUACCAAAGCCAAAUUAUGGGAUAAAAUACAGCAAUACUACACGUACGAAUGUAUGACCGCCCCUGACGCAAAAACAACACAAAGAUUCCACACGACCUGGGCCCCCUGGGUAACUUUAUACGACACCAAACAAUAAGAGCUGUGUGACAAACGGACAGACACCCCCAACCCGUGACAACCCACAGAAUAGAAGCCCACGAUAAGCAUGAAAAUGUUGUAUAGGACGCUCAAUGAACGAGCGCAUAAAACACCUCCGCAACUGUGUAGACUCCCCCAUGCAACUACAAGCUGUAUGGGAACCCUUGUACAUGUUACUUGUUACCGUGCUAUAUGUUAUACCUAUUGUUGC